AUGUCUAAAUAUUGGUGGGGAGAUGAUGAUCUGCAAAAACACAUGCACUGGUUUGCUUGGUGGAAAAUAUGUGUCCCGAAGGAAAAGGGUGGAAUGGGUUUUAGAGACUUGCAUUGUUUUAAUUUGGUUCUUCUCGCAAAGCAGUGUUGGAGGUUGUUAUGUGAACCAAAUUCUUUAUGUGCUAGAGUUUUGAGAGCCAAAUAUUUUCCUGAUGGAGACCUUCUUAACUGCGGCCUUAAGAAGGGUAGUUCUUAUACAUGGCGGAGUCUAUGGAGUGGAAUUCAGUCUUUUAAGCGAGGGCAUAUUUGAAGAGUUGGAGAUGGGGCACAAAUUAACAUCUGGGAAGACCCUUGGAUACCAAGUAGUCCUACUCGAAAGUUAAUGACACCAAGAGGUAACAUUGUGAUCACAAAAGUUUAUGAACUCAUUGAUACAGAAAAUAGAGUGUGGGAUGAACAGUUGAUAUCGGAGUUGUUUUGGCCUAUUGAUGUGCAACACAUAUUAAAUAUCCAACUGGCUUUGGGGAUGAUGGAUGAUUUUGUGUCAUGGCACCAUAAUAGAAGUGGAAUAUUUUCGGUUAGAUCGGCAUACCAUGAAGAGUGGGAGCAUCAACACGGACGAAAGUUGAGGAUGACUAACUCUAUACAAGCCUCAAGUACUAGUCCAGUUUGCGUGUGCCGGCAAAAAUAA
rnacentral:rRNA from 1 species